rnacentral:rRNA from 1 species
UACGUAGGGUGCAAGCGUUGUUCGGAAUCAUUGGGCGUAAAGCGCGUGUAGGCGGUUGGUUAAGUCUGGUGUGAAAGCCCGGGGCUUAACUCCGGAAGUGCACUGGAUACUGAUUAACUAGAGGGCGGGAGAGGGAAGCGGAAUUCCUGGUGUAGGGGUGAAAUCCGUAGAUAUCAGGAGGAACGUCGGAGGCGAAGGCGGCUUCCUGGCCCGUUACUGACGCUGAGACGCGAAAGCGUGGGGAGCAAACAGG